GGGGAAUUUGGACAUGGGCGAAAGCCUGAUCCAGCCAUGCCGCGUGUGUGAAGAAGGUCUUCGGAUUGUAAAGCACUUUAAGUUGGGAGGAAGGGCAGUAAAUUUAAUACUUUGCUGUUUUGACGUUACCGACAGAAUAAGCACCGGCUAACUC
rnacentral:rRNA from 1 species